rnacentral:rRNA from 1 species
UACGGGGGGGGCAAGCGUUGUUCGGAAUUACUGGGCGUAAAGGGCGCGAAGGCGGCUUAUCAAGUCAGUCGUGAAAUUCCCGGGCUCAACCUGGGGGCUGCGCUUGAUACUGAUUGGCUGGAAUGCGGGAGAGGAUAGUGGAAUUCCCAGUGUAGAGGUGAAAUUCGUAGAUAUUGGGAAGAACACCGGUGGCGAAGGCGGCUAUCUGGCCCGUAAUUGACGCUGAGGCGCGAAAGCGUGGGGAGCAAACAGG